UUGCUUCGGGUGUGAUUGGCACCCGUCUCGGAGGCCUCCUCACUACCACGCAGCGAAGCCGACUAGUCCCCUGCCCAGAGCCAGGUUCACCUAAACUCCCGCGGACAGCCUCCUUUUUCGUCCCCCACCCCCCAGUGUCGCGACUCUAAGGGUUCCGCUCUGCGGCGGAGGCGGGACCGGAGGCGGGAAUGAGGGUACGGGGCCAGACGUCGUCACAGGCGGGAGGCGGGGCGGCCUCCUUACCUGUGCCCCUCAGGGUUCCAAGGGUUCCACUCUGCGGUAGGGGCGGAGGUGGGGUGGAGGCGGGGCAGGAGGGGCCAAGGCGCCCAGGUGGCCUCGGCUGGGGCUGACAGCCGGCUGGGGAGAGAAGGGACUCGGAGGAACGUGGUUCCCGCCGGUUGCUGAUUUCUCAGCGGCUCUCCCGGACCGCCCCCUUUUCCUUCCCCCUCAGGCCACGACUUGGAGGGUUCCGCUCUGCAGCGGGAGCGGGGCCAGGGACGGGUCUGAGCGCGGCCUGGGCGGGCUGGACUCUUUUUCCCGCCCGGGGGACCUCUUUCCGACCGCCGGGACGUAAAAGGGGCUCGGCAGGGGCGUCCUCGCUCUAGCGUCCCGGGUCCCGCCAGCGUCGGGAGCCCAGCGGGCCCGGCCUAGGCGGGACCUUUGUCGCGCCAGCCCCCGUCCCCUCCCCCGCGCCUCUGGUUGGCUUGCUUUCCAGCCAGACUUUGGGGCUAGCGUUUAGAAAAGUCUCGACCUCCUCCGGCCCAGCCCCAUCCCGAGAACUGACUGAGGCUGUGAGUGUCCAGGAACCAGGCCCGCUUGGAGGCCAGAGCCUCGACGUCCCGCGCCCACGCGGCAGAGUGGGCUCUGCGGCCCAGGAGACUCGGGGAGAUGCGGAGCAGGAGCAAUUCCGGGGUCCGCUUGGACGGGUACGCGCGGCUGGUGCAGCAAACCAUCCUGUGUUACCAGAAUCCCGUCACGGGGCUGCUGUCAGCCAGCCAUGAGCAGAAGGAUGCCUGGGUGCGGGAUAACAUCUACAGUAUCCUGGCCGUGUGGGGCCUGGGCAUGGCCUACCGCAAGAAUGCGGACCGCGAUGAGGACAAGGCCAAGGCCUACGAGCUGGAGCAGAACGUGGUGAAGCUGAUGCGAGGUCUUCUCCAGUGCAUGAUGAGACAGGUGGCCAAAGUGGAGAAGUUCAAACACACUCAGAGCACCAAGGACAGCCUGCACGCCAAGUACAACACCGCCACCUGUGGCACAGUGGUGGGCGAUGACCAGUGGGGCCACCUCCAGGUGGAUGCCACCUCUCUCUUCCUCCUGUCCCUGGCCCAGAUGACUGCCUCAGGCUUACGUAUCAUUUUUACCCUCGACGAGGUGGCCUUCAUACAGAAUCUUGUCUUUUACAUAGAAGCUGCAUAUAAAGUUGCUGAUUAUGGAAUGUGGGAGCGUGGAGAUAAGACUAAUCAGGGCAUCCCGGAGUUGAACGCAAGCUCCGUAGGAAUGGCCAAGGCAGCUCUUGAGGCAAUUGAUGAACUGGACCUUUUUGGAGCCCAUGGAGGACGCAAGUCAGUGAUUCACGUCCUGCCGGAUGAGGUCGAGCACUGCCAGUCUAUUCUGUUCUCCAUGCUGCCAAGAGCAUCAACAUCUAAAGAGAUUGAUGCUGGACUUCUUUCCAUUAUUUCCUUUCCGGCCUUUGCAGUAGAAGAUGUAAACCUUGUGAAUGUGACCAAAAAUGAAAUUAUUUCUAAGCUCCAGGGGCGUUAUGGAUGCUGUCGCUUCCUUCGAGAUGGUUAUAAAACUCCAAGAGAGGACCCUAAUCGACUGCAUUAUGACCCUGCUGAACUCAAGCUCUUUGAAAACAUUGAAUGUGAGUGGCCUGUGUUCUGGACAUAUUUUAUAAUAGAUGGAGUCUUCAAUGGUGAUGCUGUUCAGGUCCAAGAGUACCGAGAGGCCCUAGAGGGAAUACUCAUCAGAGGCAAGAAUGGGAUCCGCCUGGUGCCAGAACUCUAUGCUGUCCCACCUAACAAGGUAGAUGAAGAGUACAAGAACCCUCACACUGUGGACCGAGUUCCUAUGGGGAAGGUGCCUCAUCUGUGGGGCCAAUCCUUGUACAUCCUCAGCUCACUGUUGGCAGAGGGAUUCCUUGCCACUGGUGAAAUCGAUCCCUUAAAUAGAAGAUUUUCCACUUCAGUCAAACCUGAUGUUGUGGUACAAGUUACUGUUUUGGCAGAAAACAAUCACAUUAAGGACUUGCUGAGGAAACACGGGGUGAACGUCCAGAGUAUCGCGGACAUUCAUCCAAUUCAAGUCCAGCCAGGCCGGAUUCUUAGUCACAUAUAUGCCAAGCUUGGACGGAAUAAGAAUAUGAAUUUGAGUGGGCGACCAUAUCGACAUAUUGGCGUCCUUGGAACUUCUAAACUAUAUGUGAUUAGGAACCAAAUCUUUACUUUUACCCCCCAGUUCACUGACCAGCAUCACUUCUACCUGGCCCUCGAUAAUGAGAUGAUCGUGGAGAUGCUGAGGAUCGAGCUGGCCUACCUGUGCACCUGCUGGAGGAUGACGGGCAGACCCACGCUCACCUUCCCCAUCAGCCGCACCAUGCUCACAAAUGAUGGUUCAGACAUUCAUUCUGCUGUGCUUUCCACAAUUAGAAAACUAGAGGAUGGGUAUUUUGGAGGAGCCAGAGUAAAAUUGGGGAACCUUUCGGAAUUUCUCACCACAUCGUUCUAUACAUAUCUGACCUUCCUGGAUCCAGACUGUGAUGAGAAGUUGUUUGACUAUGACAGUGAAGGGACUUUUAGUCCCGAUAGUGAUUCAGAUUUGGGAGGAUAUCGGGAAGACACCUGUAAUCAAGAAAGCCAAGACGAACUUGACCAGUAUAUCAACCACCUUCUGCAGAGCACAUCCUUGAGGUGCUAUCUGCCUCCUCUUCGUAAGAACACAGAAGACCGCCAUGUCUUCAGUGCUAUCCACUCCACGCGGGACAUACUUUCUGUGAUGGCAAAAGCAAAGGGUUUGGAAGUUCCAUUUGUUCCCAUGACUUUACCGACUAAAGUUCUAAGUGCCCACCGUAAAUCACUGAAUCUUGUCGAUUCUCCUCAGCCACUGCUAGGAAAGGUUCCUGAAAGUGACUUCCAGUGGCCCAGAGAUGACCAUGGUGACGUGGACUGUGAGAAGCUGGUUGAGCAGCUGAAAGAUUGUUCGAACCUACAGGACCAAGCAGACAUUCUGUACAUUCUUUAUGUCAUCAAGGGUCCCAGCUGGGACACAAAUCUCUCUGGACAGCACGGGGUCACCGUUCAAAACCUUCUCAGCGAGCUCUAUGGGAAAGCUGGCUUGAACCAGGAGUGGGGUCUGAUUCGCUACAUCUCAGGCCUGCUCAGGAAGAAAGUGGAGGUCCUGGCCGAGGCCUGCACGGACCUGCUAUCACACCAGAAGCAGCUCACCGUGGGCCUGCCACCCGAGCCCCGGGAGAAGAUCAUCUCUGCGCCCCUUCCCCCGGAGGAGCUCACAAAACUCAUCUACGAGGCCAGCGGGCAGGACAUCAGCAUCGCCGUCCUCACACAGGAGAUUGUGGUUUACCUGGCCAUGUAUGUGAGAGCACAGCCCAGCCUCUUUGUGGAGAUGCUGAGACUCCGGAUUGGACUGAUCAUUCAGGUGAUGGCCACAGAGCUGGCACGGAGCCUGAACUGCUCAGGAGAAGAAGCUUCUGAAAGUUUAAUGAACCUCAGCCCUUUCGAUAUGAAAAAUCUCCUGCACCAUAUUCUAAGUGGGAAAGAGUUUGGUGUUGAAAGAAGCGUGCGCCCUAUCCACUCCUCAACAUCCAGCCCUGCCAUCUCCAUCCACGAGGUGGGCCAUACCGGAGUCACCAAAACCGAGAGGAGUGGCAUUAACAGACUGAGGAGUGAGAUGAAACAGAUGACUAGGCGAUUUAGUGCUGAUGAACAGUUGUUUUCUGUGGGCCAGGCUGCGUCCAGCAGUGCGCAUUCCUCCAAGUCUGCGGUAACCGUGCCUCGGGAUCAUUGUGUCCGUCCCCGCUCCUCCUCGCGUCCUUCCUCGUGUUGCCACCUCAUGCCCAACUUAGGUCCAGCACCCCAUCCUCACCCACUGGGACAUCAUCCUCAGACUCGGGAGGACAUCACAUCGGCUGGGGGGAGCGGCAGGGCCAGUGGCUGCGCCGGAGAAGGCUGGAUGGGGCCAUCAACAGGGUCCCCGUGGGAUUCUACCAGAAGGUGUGGAAGAUCCUCCAGAAGUGCCACGGUCUCUCCAUCGAUGGUUACGUCCUACCAUCCUCGACGACCCGAGAGAUGACCCCGCAUGAGAUCAAGUUUGCUGUCCAUGUCGAGUCAGUGCUGAACCGCGUGCCCCAGCCCGAGUACCGGCAGCUGCUGGUGGAGGCCAUCAUGGUGCUGACGCUGCUCUCGGACACGGAGAUGACCAGCAUCGGGGGCAUCAUCCACGUGGACCAGAUUGUGCAGAUGGCCAGUCAGCUGUUCUUGCAGGACCAGGUGUCGAUCGGAGCCAUGGACACCCUGGAGAAAGACCAAGCCACGGGAAUCUGCCACUUCUUUUACGACAGUGCACCGAGUGGGGCUUAUGGGACCAUGACCUACCUAACAAAAGCAGUGGCUUCUCAUCUGCAGGAAUUGUUGCCCAAUUCGGGCUGCCAGAUGCAGUAGGGUCUCGCCUAGAAACAUGACCACACUCUGAAUCUGUCACAUGGCACCUAGCCUUAUUGGGAACCUUCUUAUCCCCCCCCCAAGAUCCCCUGGGCUAUCAGGAAAGCAUGUCCCAUCAAAAACACUCACAGCGGGGCGCUGGCAGCACUCACCCUGUGACUGAUGUCUGUUAAAGCCUCAGAGAUAGAUAGAGCUGAGGAAUCCUCUGCUCCCCUAGCGAGCGCCUGGGAUCAUUUUCUAGGUUCAUUUCGCUGGAACAUUUGUCGCAGCAUCUGGUCUUACGGACUCUGAGGAGGAAUUGGAAAUUGGUCUCUUUUGAGUGCAGAGGGAACUGAGAAGCCAGCUUAAAUUGGCUCUUGCAGAGAGUUACAGAAAUAGUUUCGAUGAGCUAGUGCCACAUCCUAAGAUGCAAAGAUUCUCUGGAGGCAGUAGCCAGACAAGCAGACCUUGACAAGGGCCACCUCUUCACAGGAUGCAGUCAGUCUGUGCACCAAACUCUUCACCAAAUAGAAUGCGUGCGUUGCUGUGGAACUGGGGUUUUCUUGUGCCUUGCUUGCUUUCGUAGCCUUGUGUUGUACUGGCACGGCUGCCUUCAUGUAGCAUAAUUCUCUAUUCCUAAGACUUAGAAAAUUCCUCUUCAUUCACCUUGGCUCCUGGUCUUAAAGGGUUUUUAUCCUGGCUUCCCAUGAACUGGGGUUUUCUCUUGCCUUAGGAAAAAUCCCGAAUCUUCUGGAAUCCAG